rnacentral:rRNA from 1 species
UACGAAGGGGGCGAGCGUUGUUCGGAGUUACUGGGCGUAAAGGGCGCGUAGGCGGCGCUCCAAGUUAGGCGUGAAAGCCCCGGGCUCAACCUGGGAAUAGCGCUUAAGACUGGAGUGCUCGAGUGCGGGAGAGGUGAGUGGAAUUCCCAGUGUAGAGGUGAAAUUCGUAGAUAUUGGGAAGAACACCAGUGGCGAAGGCGGCUCACUGGCCCGCAACUGACGCUGAGGCGCGAAAGCGUGGGGAGCAAACAGG